CUUACUAAUACUUUUGAGAAUCUGAGAUAGGAUGGAAAUAUUGCCCUAAUUCAGAGUAUUAUCUCCUGCUGAUGGCUCCCCAGCCCGUGCCUAGAGUGAGAAAUGCUGGCAGCUGGGGAGAGCUGCCCUCUGCAAUACAGAGCCCACCCAGAGCCUGUAGUGAGCCAGAUUCCUCGGUACAUUUACCUCUUCUGUUUGGUUUGCCCUUUAUUCCAGGAGAAGACAAAACUGCUCAAACAGAAUCCUGGGCUUAGUGAUGUCAAUGAGAGCUUAUCAAACACUGGGUGAUGCCCACAGCUGAUGGUUUGCCCGCAGCAGAUUGGUCUUUUUAUCGUUAUUCAUAAUUAAGAUGCUGAAUUUACAGAUACACCUGUUUGAGGAAUGGCUGAGCCUCAAAGCCAUACUUGUUUGCGUCCUACAAAAGGUGAUGUGUGUUUGGGUAACAGUGGUCACUGGGCACAAUUUGCCUUCAUUAUUUCUUGGUCUUCUCCCCCAGCCCCAGCUGUGUCUGGUGAGAGGUGUGGGCUGGCACUGGCUUUCCAUGGUGUUUUCUCAGACGUACUGCUGCAAUCCUUGCUCAGACUGAUGACUUUGAGUGUGGUAAAUGAUAUAAUCUUUGACCUGGAAGCCCUGUGUUCUGAGCAUAAUCUGUGAAGCAACAGGGCCCUGGAGACAACCACAUGUGUGUUUGAAGCCCAGCGCUGCAGGGAGAUGAGGGGUGCUGACACCAGGUUUUGAAUGAGCUGAGUGGUUUAAAGUAAGUGUUCUGAUCUGCAGAGCUGUAUUAAAGUGCCUUCAAGUGUAGCAGAAUUUGAACACAUCCCUUUCUGAGUGGUAAUCUUGGGAACCUGAGCUAUGCAGAAACACAGAAGGGCUGCUGUUGUGGUUCUUGCCUAUCCCUAAAUUUCAUCUUGCUCUUAUAUUCAUAUUCAUAGUGGAACCGUACAAAUUAAUGACUGUUUAGCAAUAAGGAUUGAAAGCAAUGCCUCCUCAUAGCUCGAGUCUUGGAAGAAUGAUGAGAAGACUCAUUUUAGAAGGAUACUGACAGCAUCUGUCAAAGCACAGACACACACUGUAGCCUUUUCCCACAGUUAAGCAGGUUCACAUUUGAACAUUUAUCAUGGUCUCUAAAUUUUUCACUUGCUUCUCAGAAGACGGAUCCAAUCUAAUUUUGAUAUUUUUAUACAGUAGCAAUCCUCUUUUCAUUUCAGGAAUCUGCUCUUUUUAUUCCUGUGACCAAUUGUUCAUCGACUCCUUGUUGACAAAUGCCAGUUACUGUAGUUGGUGGGAGGAAUUCAAGGAAACUAUGGAUUACAGCUUGUCUCUUGUUGGCUCUUCACUCUGCAGUCCAUCUGGUAGACAAAAUUCCUCAGUGUAGUGCGCCGAGGGAUAAGAAUGCCUUUGUCCUGGGCAGCACCACAGCCACUUCAAGGCACACACAUGGCGUGUGGGGCUCCCUGCUCUGAGCUGCUGCAGACACCACAGGAGAGAAGGGCUGAAGACCAUUUGUGGAACAAAAGCAUUUGCCUGCACUGUAAUCUGAAUUCAGUUUAAUUGGGUAACUUGGUUGGAGGUGAUUGAAAAGAAGUAAUAGUGCUCCUAAAGAUACUAAGCCUCUUGUCCUGUACUGGGGACAUACCCUUGACUAUCAGGAAUGCAACAAGCUGAGCUUCAUCCCCAGGCAUGUUUCUAUAUCUUUUGCCUGUUUUCCCACUACUGGAAAAAACCUGCGAAGGCCUUCUAAUUGUUGUUACAAACACAACAGCAACAGCUCCCUUGUGCACUGGUAAAACGUGUUGAUGCCACCUGUUUCACUGGGAGUUUCUUGGAAUGAACCUUGCCCUCCAGUUUGUCUUCACAAAUCUAAUUGAUAGAAAAAGUCUGGUUGUGGACUGUUAUUUUAUUUUUUAAGGAUGGUCAGGGUCUCUAAAGAAAUCCUCUUGUGCUGCCUUGCAAAAACAGGACAGCACUGCUGUGAGAAGGGACACAAGCAGGAGCUCCUGUCGCCCUGCAGCAAUGUGCUCUAAAGGGCACAAGAUCGUGUGGCUGUAGGAGAAAACUAAAGGAAUUAAAAAUAAAAAAAAGUCCCAAACCACCCUUGUCUACUAAUGCCUGUCUUGGGCUCUCUGAUGGCUACAUGGGGUGUUAGCUUCAUGGACUUCCAACUUCGUACCACAGAAUUAAAGUAGAGGCCUUGCAGGCAUUUCAUAUAACUUUUAUUUUUUUAAUCAUAAGGGUUUUUCUCUAAUAUAUUUCUCAUCCCCCAGGUACAAUAUAUCUAAUAUAAAACUAAACAACAACAUGCAGAAGUGCUCAAAGGUUGGUGCUGAAUGCUGUCCUGUGUUCUGGCAGACCUUUUAUGUCCCCCAACAUGUUCAGGGCAGGCUGGUACACUUGUACACAAUAUGCUCUGAAAAAUUGUCGUGCUGUGCUUUUGGCACAUGUAAUAAUAACACUGUGCAUUAUUUGCUAGUGUAUUUUUUACAUAAUUAUGUUCUGUGUAGUAUUUUGCUAUAUCCUAUUUGAAUUAUUUUCAUCAUUCAAUACACAUACUGAGGAAAUUCUCUUUACGGUUGUCUUAAAAUUUAGAGAGGUUUUGCUCUUUCUAGUGGAUCCUACCAUAGUAUUAAAUAUGAGAGACACGAUUCCCACCAGUACGUCAAUGUUACCAAGCAAUGAGAAGAUCAUUUGCACUGUUUUUUUAAAGAAGAGACUAUAUUGCAUCUGUCUCUCAGAAAUAUCAAAUACCAUUUCGUAAGUAGACAUUAUUUCUAAUUAUGUGUUCAUCUUGGGUCAUUGUUUUUUUUUGUGACCUUUAUUUGAAUUGACACAUCAGUGAAAAGAGCAGCCAACCACUGAAGAAAGAGUGGAUAAUUCUCUCUGCCUGCCUGCUUCGGUGAGGAUAUGUUUACCAUAUGCCUCAUGAGGGAUUUGAAAUAUGUGAUUAUUAAUUAAUGUUUUUGGUUCUUUUCCUCUCAAGUUUUUAUAAAUGAAAAUAGAAGUGCUUCUCCCAGGUUUACCAAAUUAGAAUCAGAACUUCAGCUCUGAAUGCUGGGAGAAAGAAAACCCCAUUCUGUCAUCGCUGAAGGUGUGAUUGCUAUGCGAAGAGCCCUGUAAUCCAGGAACAACUUGUGAAUGUGGGAGAGGAAACGACCACUCAGCCAUGCAUGCUGUACUUAUAUGACAUUUCUUCAAGAUGUGAAAGAUAGUAAGAAGAACUAUCUGCUGAAUAAAAAGAAAUAAAUUGAAAACAAAGCUCGUACGUUGUAUGGAAUGCAGUGAAGCUGCAAGCCCACCCUUUUCAAGGAGUGGGGAGGAUUAGGAGGCACCACUUCUACAGCACCCAACCUGUUCUGCAUGCUGUGAUUUAAAUAUUCUGGAAAGUACCAGAGACACUCAAUUCAUUUCAUCUUGAAAACUGUGAAGGAAGAGGAUAGUUUGUAGGUACCAGGAACGGGCUCUCAUUGAAAUACAGUCCCAGCGUUUCUCAGCUGAGAGUUUCCUGCUCACCCUGUGCAGUCUGUGGGAAGCAGGGCACAGGGGCAAUGUAAAGUUGGGGCUCCAGAUGCCAAGGCCUGCAGCUGCUUCUGCUCAGGGUCAACCCACAGCACACGGCUGCCUCAGGGCCCCCGGGGCCCCAGGAAGCCAGAGGUGCAAACGCGUCUGCAUUGCACAAAUUGGAUUCUGGGCACACCGAGAAGCCUGUGGUCCUGAAGCUCUGCAGGUAAACUGGUGGGAAGACUGAGUUUGGACUGCAAUUCAUCCAAGGUUCAUCAAACCAGGCACAUUUUUACAAAGUGGAUUGAUUUUGACUGAUAAACCAUUUCUGGACUGACAAAGAAAAACAAGAUAAAGAAAUUGUUGGAGAGCUCUCAGCUGGGUCCUUGCCUGUGGUAUUUGCUGAAAACAGAGGAGGCCAAAAGAGUUCAGAUCACCAACACAGGGAAUGUGUUGGCUGAAGAAAGAGACAUCCAUGGACUAAGAUCAAGAUGUUUCAACCAAUCUCCAGAGGCCUGCUGGUGUCACCAUUUGGGCCAUGUACGCAGCUUCUUCAUUCCUUCCAGAGCACAGCGCUGCACUGCCCCAUGCCCACAUCAUGGCAGCAGUGUCUGCCCUGCGCUCACAACAUGACAACAGCUGUUGCUCCAUGCCCACGACAUGAUAAUAAUGUUUGCUGUGCACCCACGACAUGGCAGCAGGGGCUGCCCCAAGCCCUCAAACAUGGCAGCUGCAGUUUCCCUGUGCCCACAGCAUGGCAGCUGAGGUUUCGUUGUGCCCACAACAUGGCGGCAGUGGCUGCCCCACACCCACAACAUGGCGGCAGUGGC